UCCCGGUUAACCCGGGCAGUCUCACUAGAGUUCCCACCAUUACGUGUUGGCAACUAGUGAUAAGGGUUGCGCUCGUUGCGGGACUUAACCCAACACCUCACGGCACGAGCUGACGACAGCCAUGCAGCACCUGUGCAGAGACCCUCGCGGGCGACGACAUUUCUGCCGUCUUCCUCUACAUGUCAAGUCUGGGUAAGGUUCUUCGCGUUGCAUCGAAUUAAACCACAUGCUCCACUGCUUGUGCGGGUCCCCGUCAAUUCUUUUGAGUUUCACCCUUGCGAGCGUACUCCCCAGGCGGUAUACUUAUCGCGUUAGCUACGGCACAACCGGGGUUGAGUCCGGUUACACCAAGUAUACAUCGUUUACGGCAAGGACUAC
rnacentral:misc_RNA from 1 species